AUUGAACGCUGGCGGCAUGCCUUACACAUGCAAGUCGAACGGCAGCGCGGGAGCAAUCCUGGCGGCGAGUGGCGAACGGGUGAGUAAUAUAUCGGAACGUGCCCAGUAGUGGGGGAUAGCCCGGCGAAAGCCGGAUUAAUACCGCAUACGACCUGAGGGUGAAAGGGGGGGAUCGCAAGACCUCUCGCUAUUGGAGCGGCCGAUAUCAGAUUAGGUAGUUGGUGGGGUAAAGGCCUACCAAGCCUGCGAUCUGUAGUUGGUCUGAGAGGACGACCAGCCACACUGGGACUGAGACACGGCCCAGACUCCUACGGGAGGCAGCAGUGGGGAAUUUUGGACAAUGGGCGCAAGCCUGAUCCAGCAAUGCCGCGUGCAGGAAGAAGGCCUUCGGGUUGUAAACUGCUUUUGUCAGGGAAGAAAUCCCCUAGGCUAAUACCUUGGGGGGAUGACGGUACCUGAAGAAUAAGCACCGGCUAACUACGUGCCAGCCGCCGCUGUAA
rnacentral:rRNA from 1 species